CCGGAAUCGCGAGAUCCCGCCACCCCGUGAACCUACCGAAACGUUGCCUCGGCGGGCGUCCGGCCCCGCGCCGGGCGACGUGCCCGCCGGCGGCCCCCCACACCGUCUCUGCAGCGUAGCAUCUCCGAGCGGCACGAAACAAGUCA
rnacentral:misc_RNA from 1 species